AAGUUACGGCCUUCAGUACAAUUUAGAAUGCAUUGGUGCAAUGUAGUGCUAGUGCUGUCGCUGCUGAAUGCAGUUUACGCCACGGCCUGGUCCUUUCGUGAGCUAAUAAAUACAUUAGCAAAUCUCGUCUCGGAUAAAAACAAUACAGAACAAUUGAAGCUGUACGAAACUGAUGAUAAUACAGCAGUAUCGAGUGGUUCAAUAUUAAAAAUACCUCCCCGAAGAAAAUCAAUUAUGUGUAAACCUGGACAGCAACUAGACGCUCGAGGAAGGUGCAGGGUUGUUUGGUGAAUCCGAGAAAAAGACAUCAAACGUAGACAACGGAUCGAUCUUAAUUAUCGGAACGCCUAAUAAUAUCCUCCCCCACUCGUCGACAAUUAACGUACUUCAUUGACAGCUACGACUUUCGUCAGGUGAUAAAUUUAGUCGCAAGGAUAUAUAUAUAUACUGCAUCGACGAUAAUGGAGAUGUUAAUAAAAAUUUAAUUUUCAUUAUAAUAUAAGCAACUAAUUGUAUACAUAUAUAUAAUUAUAAUACGUACAGUAGGCUUCUAACAUAUAAAGCGUGCUAUCGAUAUAUCUCCACGCUUUGACUUCUCUCAAGGGACUGUCUCUCAACUCUUUUCUUUUUAUUCCUUUUCUCGUUGUUUGUAUUCAAUCUAGAAGUCAAUAUAAUAACGCGAAUACGAUUUGAUCGUGCGUAAACCGUAGAAGAAGAGAGUGAGAGAGAGAGAGAGAGAGAGAGAGAGAGAGAGAGAGAGCAGUGUUCUAUCGAUCUUCUCCACGGCGACACACUCUUCUCCGGUACGCGUGUCUCUAUAGGCGUAUAUACUUAUUUAGUCGCGGCAGGUUCUCUCCAAGGGAAACAUUUAAAGAGACUUGGACACGUUUGCCCAUUUUUAUACGUUCCCGCUAAGGGAGAAGGUAAAAAAUAAGAGAAAAGCGUAGACCCUUCCAUCCGGGAAUACUUCGUAUCGUCAUACAAAAAAGUGUAUGCAGUAAAGUUGUAAAUUUCUGUAUACGUAUCUCAUUGUGUAGUCGGAAACUUUGAUCCCUGAUUCUGUGAGAAAACUGCGAAUUAUUAGAACCGAGCAAAUUGGAUAACGCUGUAUCAAUAGCCAUAGGUCAAACUAUUUGAAAUACGCUGCGGCUGUUUAAUUAGUACCGGAAGUCGAACCACUAGUUACUUAGUCACUUGCGGCUACUGUGAUCUACUUACUGUGUCAUCUAUUCAGCUUUCAAGCUAUUAUUGAUGCUCAGUUACGUUCUGAGCAUCGGGGAGAAUUUUGCAGGCGUUUAAGAAUAUUUAGCCACAGUUUAUAACGGCAUGACGCCUUUACGUAUUUUGACAACUGUUCUCACACUUCUUGCCAUUUUCUCCGUGGCAUUGGUGGAGCCAUUAACGAUCCCGGAAUGCAAUGGAAAACCGUACGGUUACUUGAGGUGCCCUGAUGGUUAUAGGAGAAUUCGAAAUGGUCGUUGCAGGAAGAUCCUGAGCGUGUAGCAUUUUUAUAAGGUAACGAGUAGGACGGUAAAGCAGAGCUGAGUAUUUCCGUAACGGUUUCAGUCACUGAAUUAAUUUGCGUGGAAAAUCACUUUUUAAUUUCCUUGGACAAACUGAGCGCGGCGAUACUCAUCUCUUUCUCUGUAUAAAUAAUAGAAACUCGUAUUUGAAACAUGAUAACCGAUCUUCCAGCCGGAAGUUCUCAUAGUCAUCUUCAUUUCUAGAAUCGAGCGUUGACCUACGAACACGAUAUUGGGUCAAGUAGUGUAAUGCGGACGCGCACUAUGCUCACAUCAGGAUCACCUGCGUAGAGGGUGUACCAAUUGAACUUUUUUUUUUAAUUAUCUUGCCUGCUUUGUAAAGUCGACCGUUUGAUGUCGGACCGGUAAUUAAUUGCAAGAAUAAAGGAAAAAUAUUCGAGCAAACUAA